GGGCCGGUAGUCUAGUGGCAAGACGCCGUCUUCGCAAGGCGGAGAGCCCGGGUUCAAAUCCCGGCCGGUCCA
rnacentral:tRNA from 1 species